UUAUACGAAGAAGGUAGAGAUAGGAGAGUAGAUAGUAGAAAGUUAGAAUAGACAGUAGAGUAGUAGAUGUUUUUACGCAGCAUUGAGUAUUAUAGAGUAUGCAUAUUGGCCUGGAAGAUGAUCUGAAACACGAAUAUACGAAGAAGGUAGAAAUAGGAGAGUAGAUAGUAGAAAGUUAGAAUAGAUAGUAGAAUAGUAGAUGUUUUUACGCAGCAUUGAGUAUUAUAGAGUAAGCAUAUUGGCCUGGAAGAUGAUCUGAAACACGAAUAUACGAAGAAGGUAGAGAUAGGGGAGUAGAUAGUAGAAAGUUAGAAUAGACAGUAGAGUAGUAGAUGUUUUUACGCAGCAUUGAGUAUUAUAGAGUAAGCAUAUUGGCCUGGAAGAUGAUCUGAAACACGAUUAUACGAAGAAGGUAGAGAUAGGAGAGUAGAUAGUAGAAAGUUAGAAUAGAUAGUAGAAUAGUAGAUGUUUUUACGCAGCAAUGAGUAUUAUAGAGUAAGCAUAUAGGCCUGGAAGAUGAUCUGAAACACGAAUAGGAAUAAGGUAGAUAGUAGAAUGGUAGAAUAAUAAAAUAAAUAGUAGAAUAGCAGAUGUUUUUACUACCGUUACCAUAGAGCAUCAUAGAGAUCAAAGAAGCAUAGGGUAGCACGAUAUGGAGCGGGUAGGUCGUAGAAUAGUAGAAUAGUUGACGUUUUUACUAUCAUAGGCAUCCAUAAAAAUUUCAACAGGACGAUGAUCUGUGAAACACGAACACGAAUCAAGUAGGUACGGUAGAGAUUGAUUGACAGUUUAUUGUUGCAAGUACACAACAAAGGAGAAGGGAGGAGAAUGCCAGAGAAAAUUAUAAAGGGCGCAUUAUAAUUGGUUUUGUUAUUUAGUAUCAUUAUUAUCAUUAGUAUCGAUUUGGUAUAUUAUUAGCCUAUUGUUAGUGUAGGAGAGGUAGCCCCAAGUUCCCCACAGAUAGGAGGAAGGAAGAGGAAGAGAAAUGCAUCCUGUCACGCUCACUCACUCACUCACGCACUAACACGACUCCACUAAGCUUCAAUAAUUAAGGCUAUACAGUAUCAUUUUAACCUGUGCAGUGAUCAGAAAACCCGUUAAACACUCCAUAAGUUACUCUAGCAUGCCGCGGAGGUCAGAGAUAGGCGUGACACAGCAUGAAGAGCCAUCAGAGGCCUUCACUAUCUGCUGGUAAGGCCCCGCACGUGUUCCUUCCACAGGUGACGGGGUGACAGGGAGGGGAUCCAGCGUGAGAGUCCCCAGCCAGGGCAGGUGUGUGGCGGUGCACCUGUGGAGAGCCAACACUGACGCCACUAAUCACAGGUAAGUCUUGACGAGCUACUGUGACAAUUUUUUU